AUUGAACGCUGGCGGCAUGCCUUACACAUGCAAGUCGAACGGUAACAGGUCUUUCGGGAUGCUGACGAGUGGCGAACGGGUGAGUAAUACAUCGGAACGUGCCUAGUAGUGGGGGAUAACUACUCGAAAGAGUGGCUAAUACCGCAUGAGAUCUAUGGAUGAAAGCAGGGGACCUUCGGGCCUUGUGCUACUAGAGCGGCCGAUGGCAGAUUAGGUAGUUGGUGGGAUAAAAGCUUACCAAGCCUACGAUCUGUAGCUGGUCUGAGAGGACGAUCAGCCACACUGGGACUGAGACACGGCCCAGACUCCCACGGGAGGCAGCAGUGGGGAAUUUUGGACAAUGGGCGCAAGCCUGAUCCAGCAAUGCCGCGUGCAGGAUGAAGGCCUUCGGGUUGUAAACUGCUUUUGUACGGAACGAAAAGUCUUGGGUUAAUACCCUGGGAUCAUGACGGUACCGUAAGAAUAAGCACCGGCUAACUACGUGCCAGCAGCCGCAGUAAUAC
rnacentral:rRNA from 1 species